rnacentral:rRNA from 1 species
UACGGAGGGUGCAAGCGUUGUCCGGAUUUAUUGGGUUUAAAGGGUGCGUAGGCGGCCGAUUAAGUCUGGGGUGAAAGCCCGUUGCUCAACAACGGAACUGCCCUGGAAACUGGUCGGCUUGAGUACAGACGAGGGUGGCGGAAUGGAUGCUGUAGCGGUGAAAUGCAUAGAUAGCAUCCAGAACCCCCGAUUGCGAAGCAGCUGCCU